AACGAACGCUGGCGGCAUGCCUAACACAUGCAAGUCGAACGAGACCUUCGGGUCUAGUUGCGCACGGGUGCGUAACGCGUGGGAACCUGCCCUUAGGUUGGGAAUAACUCCCCGAAAGGGGUGCUAAUACCGGAUAAUGUCUUCGGACCAAAGAUUUAUCGGCUUUGGAUGGGCCCGCGUUGGAUUAGCUAGUUGGUAGGGUAAAAGCCUACCAAGGCGACGAUCCAUAGCUGGUCUGAGAGGACGAUCCGCCACACUGGGACUGAGACACGGCCCAGACUCCUACGGGAGGCAGAAGUGGGGAAUAUUGGACAAUGGGCGAAAGACUGAUCCAGCAAUGCCGCGUGAGUGAUGAAGGACUUAGGGUUGUAAAGCUCUUUUACCCGGGAUGAUAAUGACAGUACCGGGAGAAUAAGCUCCGGCUAACUACGUG
rnacentral:rRNA from 1 species